rnacentral:rRNA from 1 species
UACGAAGGGGGCGAGCGUUUGUUCGGAAUUCUGGGCGUAAAGGGCGCGCAGGCGGCCCUUGAAGUCAGGCGUGAAAGCCCCGGGCUCAACCUGGGAGGUGCGCUUGAUACUCGAGGGCUUGAGUGCGGGAGAGGAGAGUGGAAUUCCCAGUGUAGAGGUGAAAAUUCGUAGAUAUUGGGGAAGAACACCGGGUGGCGAAGGCGGCUCUCUGGACCGUAACUGACGCUGAGGCGCGAAAAGCGUGGGG